GUCGAACGGCAGCGGGAAAGUAGCUUGCUCACUUUUGCCGGCGAGUGGCGAACGGGUGAGUAAUGUAUCGGAACGUGCCCAGUAGCGGGGGAUAACUACGCGAAAGCGUGGCUAAUACCGCAUACGCCCUACGGGGGAAAGGGGGGGAUCUUAGGACCUCUCACUAUUGGAGCGGCCGAUAUCGGAUUAGCUAGUUGGUGGGGUAAAGGCCUACCAAGGCGACGAUCCGUAGCUGGUUUGAGAGGACGACCAGCCACACUGGGACUGAGACACGGCCCAGACUCCUACGGGAGGCAGCAGUGGGGAAUUUUGGACAAUGGGGGAAACCCUGAUCCAGCCAUCCCGCGUGUGCGAUGAAGGCCUUCGGGUUGUAAAGCACUUUUGUCAGGGAAAAAAAGGUUUCGGAUAAUACCCGGAACUGAGGACGGUACCUGAAGA
rnacentral:rRNA from 1 species